CCAGACUCCUACGGGAGGCAGCAGUGGGGGAUAUUGCACAAUGGGGGAAACCCUGAUGCAGCGACGCCGCGUGAGUGAAGAAGUAUUUCGGUAUGUAAAGCUCUAUCAGCAGGGAAGAAAAAAGACGGUACCUGACUAAGAAGCCCCGGCUAACUACGUGCCAGCAGCCGCGGUAAUACGUAGGGGGCAAGCGUUAUCCGGAUUUACUGGGUGUAAAGGGAGCGUAGACGGCAAUACAAGUCGGAAGUGAAAUACCCGGGCUCAACCUGGGAGCUGCUUUGGAAACUGUAUGGCUGGAGUGCUGGAGAGGUAAGCGGAAUUCCUAGUGUAGCGGUGAAAUGCGUAGAUAUUAGGAGGAACACCAGUGGCGAAGGCGGCUUGCUGGACAGUAACUGACGUUGAGGCUCGAAAGCGUGGGGAGCAAACAGGAUUAGAUACCCCUGUAA
rnacentral:rRNA from 1 species